UAUAUCAAUUUAAUUUAUAAAUGUAGGUGAAUAAUUGAAAAUAGGUACAUGAAUAAAAUGCUUUAUUAGGGAGAUAAAAUCUUAUAAUUAAUAAUGAUAAAAUAAACAAAAUGUUUAAUCAGAGUAUGAAAAUAUAAAAAAGAAUUAAGUGAAUUGAAACAUCUUAGUAACUUAUAAAUAAACCAACAGGGAGUAUAUGAGUAGUGGCGAACGAAAAUAUAUAAGUUUUAAAGUAAUAUUAUAUAAUAUGAAUAAAGAUAUAUCUAUAUCUAAAACUAAAAUAAUUAUAAAGAGAAAGUACUGAAAAGGAAAAAUCGUAAAUAGUAAAGUAUACAGCAGUCAUAGUAUGGCGUACCUUUUGUAUAAUGGGUCAGUUAGUUAUAUUUAUUAGUGAAAUAAAAAUAUUUAAAGUAAUCUAAGAAUUAUCAAUCUAUAAUUAAUAAAUAUAGACCCGAAAACAGACGAUCUACACAUAUCCAAUUAUAUAUUAAAUAUGAAUGAAUAGGUGUAUGUAGCAAUAUACUCUAAAGAGGUAUGUGUUGUAGUGAAAGACAAAUCUGGUUUGUAGAUAGCUGGUUAUAAGCGAAAUCUAUAUUAGUAGAGCCUUAAUAUCUUCUCCCUUUUUGUAAAUACAAAAAUAGGGAUAAAAAUAUAAAAACUGGUACAGCACUAAUAUUUAAUAGGGGGGUUAAUUAACUUUAUCUAUUUAUAUUAAACUCGGAACAGUGUACUAUAUAAUUAAGAGUCAGACUUAUUGCGAUAAGGUAGUAGGUCGAGAAGGAAACAGCCUAGAUUACAAUAUUAAAAGCCCCAAAAUAAAUUUAAGUGAUAUAAAUAAAUUGUAGAUUAAUAAAUAUAUUAAUUAUUUAUAAUAAAUAAUAGAGAGACAAUCAGUCAGCGGGUUUGACAAUAAUCAACUGAUAACGCACAUGUAACAAUGCACUGAUGGGACAUAUACAAUUGAUAAGAUAUAUGGGUCUAAAAUUUAUGCUUUUAAUGUAAUAGAGAGGUAGCUUAUUAUAUUAUAAUAAUAAAUAAUAAAAAAACUGCUGACUUGAGUAACGAUAGAUAGUAUAAGACUAUCCUCCAAAUCUAUAAGGUUUUACUAUAAAUAAACAGUCUCUAAGUUAAUAUUAGAAAUAAUAAAAUAAUGAGUAUAAUUAAAUAAAAAAAUAAAUAUAAACUGUACUGUAAACCGACACUGGUAUAGAAUAAAGGAGAAUGAGAUAACUAUGUCAAAUGAACUCGGCAAAGAAUAUCAGAUAAAGAUAUAAUAAUCGUGCGACUGUUUACCAAAAACACAGCUUAUUGCAGAUUAGUAAUAAUUAGUAUAAUAAGUGACAUCUGCUCAGUGUUCAUAAAUAAAUAAAAAUUUUAUUUUAGAAAUUUUAAUAAUCAAUGAAUAAACAGCGGUCUUAUUUUGAGGAUCCUAAGGUAGCGAAAUUCAUUGUCCAAUAAUUAUGGUCCUGCAUGAAUGACUUUACGAUGCGAUAACUGUAUCUGACAUAGGCUCAGUGAAAUAGCAAUUGCGGUGAAGAUGCCGUAUUUCCAUAGGUUGACAAAAAGACCCUAUGCAGCUUUACUAUAACUUGAUAUUGAUUAAUAUUAUAUUUAUAUUCAGUAAUUAGAUAAUCGUAUGAUAUAAUUGAGAUAUCUAUUAUAAAAUAAUAAAAAUCUUAUCUUAUAUAUUCAUUUAUGGCCUCCUCCAUCGACAAUGUCGAUGGAGGGAUAUAAAUAAAUGAAUAAGAAACAUUGUCAAGUAGUUAGUUUCGAUGGGGCGUCGACAUCAGCGAAAGCAUCUGAUGUGUCUAAUUAGAAUUUAUCUAUCAAAUUAUUUAAUAAUUUAUUAGUAAUAUUAAAUACAAAGAGAUUAUCUGGUGAAUAAUUAAUACACUCAUAUUUAUAUGAGUUAAUAUGUAAAAAUAAUAGUAUAAUUGUGUUUAAAUAGAAAUACAAACAAGUAGAUCUAGUACGUAAGUAUGGUAUAGUGAACAGGUAUAAUCUUUAGAAUAAGAAUAUCGAUAACGGAUUAAAGUUACGCUAGGGAUAACAGGGUAAUACCGUGAGAGAGUUGAUAUCGUCAACGGUGUUUGCCACCUCGAUUAACCAAUAGAUAGUCGAGUUUAAAUGGAUUUAAUUGCAAGAAAGUCUAAGGUUUUAUAAAAUACCUCCAAUCCCUUUAAUAUUAUCGAAGAGAGAGGUUAAACUAUGAUAAUUUGCAGCGAAAUAUAUUAUAUACAAUAAAUUAAGUAAUAUAAACGUUCAACGACUAGUUAUUGAGUAGUAUAACAAUAUAUAACCACGAAAUUUCCAAAGAAUAUAAAUAUUUAUAUUUUUAUGACAUAGUCUGAUCUAUAUAGAAAUAUAUAGAAGUAAUAAUUAAAAAAAUUACGAUAACAAUAAUGGUCGUCUAGACUCAUCCUCCUGGUAGAAGCAGCUAGGUAGGGUAAGACUGUUCGUCUUUUAAAGAGUCACUUGAGAUGGGUUAAUUACGACGUGAGUCAGUAAUGAUUUUAUCAUCUAUGGAAUUUAACUUUUAUUAUAAUCUUGAGUGUACGAAAGGAUAACAAGAUGCCAUCCUAUAAUCAAUAUGUUUAAUUCAUAUUAGUCAAGAUGGUAGAUAUUACAUUUUGAAAGCAUCUUAAAAAUUAAAUACUAUAAUUCAAAAGUUAUAUAACAUAUUAUACUAAUAUGUUAUGGUU